GUCAUUUUACAGUCCAAACCACAGGGAUAGUUGAGUUCUCCCAGUAGAGAGAGAUCAGCAGGCGGAGUGCUAGAUGACAGAAGUGUGCAUAAAUUUUCCAGACACAGAGAACAAAAUACCAGGAAAUAGCCAGAGGGAGCCAAGCAAAAGAGAGAAAUGUGGCAGCACAUCCCUCGAAGCACUGGCAGUGACUGUGAGACACCUUGCUAGCUGGCUCCUGGUGCUGACUCCCAGCUUUCAUCUACAGCUGUAGGACUAUGGAUGCCCUGACUGCCCUGCAGCCAUUGGUCAGCAGAACAAAUGGUGUACAGCUGCUCCACCUCCAGUGCUUGAGCUGUGACAACCUACACAUGUCAUUUAUGCAAGUGCUCUUCUGUGUCGGUAGCUCCCCAUGCGAAGGGAGGUUCAGAGGAAUGCUGACACAGAGCCUUGGUGUCCUCAUCCCUGGUCCCUGGAGCAGAGAUUCUGGAGAUGUGGGCCCAUCUGUCAUGAACAGUCUUGCAAGGUGCUAUCAGGAUGAAGAUAACCAGAGCACUCAGCUGGCUUCCUCAGGGUUAAGAAUACAGACUGUAACCAUCUCCAGCGAUUGACUCCUAUGUGCUCCAGAGAGACUCCUUCUGUCAUUGAAAGUGAACAAACCAGGCCACUAGAAACAAAAUGAAAAUUACCCUCCCUUUUUUUCUUUUUAAAUAUUUCCUGCUCAGAUCUUGAUUUUCCCAUUUGUUAAGAUAGAUGCUAUAGAGUCUGGCAAUGAUAUUUAAAAAAAUACCUUGCAUUUACCUUGACUUCCUAUUCAAAGGUCCCUAACAUGAUUGCUGUUGUCAUUAUUAAGUCCUAAGGGGCACCACUUUACCAAUUCAAUGAACACUAAUGAAAAGACAGUGGAAAUAACUUGUAUCAGAGAAGUGAGAGGAGGCUGCACAGGUAGUUGUAGUUCACAGGUGGAUGGUGAGUGGAGCAGACAGUGCAGUCCAGCACUGUGGUUAGCAGCCCAAAUGCUGGGUUGCACAGCCUCCUCCUGGCAGGAGCUGGAGGAGCAGCUCUCACACUCUUGGCAGUGAUGCUAGAGAGCAGUGGGAAGGACAGAUGCACCAUGGUGAGAGAUUCGUUAGUUUGCUCACAAUCGACUGUGCUGGAAAGUAGUACAGGAGCCAGAGAUGGGAGCAAGUCGCAUGUUUUCUUUGUAAAUCUGCAGUCUUUGUUACAUUUGAGUAAAACUCUUCAGGAUAUCUAGUUCCUGAGCUCAGCUUAUUUGAUUCUGGAGCAGCAUGUGCAAUGUUGCUGAUCCUGUGCCCCUCACUAAGGCGUACUAGCAGUGGACUACAGAAUUCUUUGGGCAGUCACAAAGAGAUAUGCAGCCUGUUUUCCUGUUUUGUACCCAUCUUUGAAUAACUUUUUCUUUCAGAAUUUUUCAAGACAACUAUAGACAAAUUUUUAUUUGGUUGGAAGAAGGCUUCAGCCCUGUUCAUCUGCUGCUAUAAAUUAUGGCACUGGUUCUUUUGAUCUGGCUGCUGGUCAGGGAUCACAGAAUGGCUUAGGUUGGAAAGGACCCUAAAGAUCAUCCAGUUCCAGCUCUCUUGUCAUGGGCAGGAACAUGUCACCAGAACAGGCUGCUCAGGGACCCAUCCUCCUUGGCCUUGAACACCUCCAAGGGGCACUCACAGCUUCUCUGAGCAGCCUGUGCCAGUGCCUCAUUGCCCUCUGAGUAAAGAAUUUCUAUCAAAUUCUAGCCUAACAAACAUCUAAUUUCCCCUCAUUUAAUUUAGAGCUAUUACCCUUGUCCUGUCACUAUCUGACUGUGUAAAAAGUUGGUCCCCCUCAUGUUUAUAAGCUCCCCUCAAGUACUGGAAGGCUGCAAUGAGAUGUCUCUAAAGCCUUUUCUUCUCCAAGCUAAGCAAGCCCUAGUCUCUCAGCUCUUCUUCAUAGGAGAAUAGGAGAAACUUACUCAGGGUACACACUCAAUCUCACUGUCUACAUCCUUGAUAAAGAUAUUGAAAAGAAUAAGUCCCAGUAUUGACCCCUGAGAGACAUCACAUAUGACCAUGUCCACCUGGAUAUAGAGCCACUAACUACAACACUCCAGCUGUGAUCAUCCAACCAAUCCUUUAAUCACUGAACAGUCCAUCCUUCAAAUCUGUCUCUCUUCAAAUUAGAGAUAAAGAUGUGGCAUGGUCCAUGUCAGAGUCCUUGCACAGGUCCUUUAUGAUGGUGGGGGAUGAGUUUGUGCAUGUGUCACCCUUGAGGCACCAGAAAUAAGUCUGUUUCACCAGCUUGCAUGGCAAGUGAUUUUGUUGGUGCCCUCAAGGAAGUCAUCAUGUAAUGUGAGGGAAGCUUCAGUUCUUAGAACUUGUCUUGUAGAUAGACUUCCAAAUCUUGUGCUGGCCAGUGCAUCAAAAGCCAUAAAACACCACCCUUUAGAUUUCCAUGCAGGUAACAUCAAGCUCGUCCAUGCUGAGCUAAUGGAAGGGCUGCAGGGGCUUUGCAGCUUAGCACAGUGUUAUGCAUGCCUUUCUCUCUGUGGAACUUACAUUUCUGCUAGCAGCUGUUUUGCAGCUCUCUUCACUGCUUCCAAAAGCAGUGCUGGGACACAGGCCACAGCUCUUGAUCCCAGAUCUCAGGAGAAUAUGC
rnacentral:lncRNA from 1 species